UACGAAGGGGGCGAGCGUUGUUCGGAUUUACUGGGCGUAAAGGGCGCGCAGGUGGCUCAUUUUGUCAGGCGUGAAAGCCCCGGGCUUAACCUGGGAACUGCGUUUGAUACGGAUGGGCUAGAGUUCGGGAGAGGAGAGUGGAAUUCCCAGUGUAGAGGUGAAAUUCGUAGAUAUUGGGAAGAACACCGGUGGCGAAGGCGGCUCUCUGGACCGUAACUGACGCUGAGGAGCGAAAGCGUGGGGAGCGAACAGG
rnacentral:rRNA from 1 species